AGGUUCCACACCUCCGUUAUUCU
rnacentral:siRNA from 1 species